UUCCCCAUGACCUUUCUUUAUGUGGGGUAUGGAUAUGGUUGGACCAAUAUCGCCAAAGGCUUCCAAUUGGCAUCGGUUCAUCUUUGUGGUUAUCGACUACUUCACCAAAUAGGUAGAAUCCGCUUCAUAUGCCAAUGUUACAAAGUCGGCAGUGAGCAAAUUCCUAAAAAAAGAGAUCAUAUAUCGAUAUAGAAUGCCAGAGAGGAUCAUAUCUGACAAUGCGUUAAACCUGAACAAUAGUACGAUAGCAGAAGUCUGUAGUCAAUUCAAGAUCAGACAUCACAACUCGUCACUAUAUCGCCCGAAAAUGAAUGGGGCAGUGGAAGCGGCCAAUAAAAACAUUAAGAAGAUUGUGGGGAAGAUGACCGAGACCUACAAAGAUGGGUAUGAGAAGUUACCAUUUACCCUCUUUGCUUAUCGAACAUCAGUCAGAACCUCAACUGGGGCAACAUCUUUCUCUUUGGCCUAUGAAAUGGAAGCGGUUUUGCCAAUCGAAGUCGAGAUCCCAUCCCUUCGAGUGUUUUCGGAGUUAAAGUUAGAUAAAGCAGAGUGGAUCCAGUCUCGAUAUGAUCAAUUGAACUUGAUUGAGGAAAAGAGGCUAAGAGCUAUCCGUCAUGGUCAGAUGUACCAAAAACGAAUGAUGCGGGCUUAUGACAAAAAAGGUUCGCCCUAGGGAAUUCCAUAAGGGAGACCUGGUUUUGAAUAAAAUCUUUCCCAUACAGAAGGAUUUUAGAGGAAAAUGGAUGCCUAAUUGGGAGGGGUUUUACGUGGUGAAGAAAGCUUUCUCCGGAGGAGCAUUGAUUCUAGCCGAGAUGGAUGGUAAAAACUUGCCCAAUCCUGUAAAUUCAGAUUCCGUGAAGAAGUAUUUUACCUAAAGAGGGAAGGCCAAGGCGAAAACCCGCAAAGGGCGCUUUGAGACAAAAAAAAUAGAGAGGCCAAGGUGAAAACCCGCAAAGGGCACUUUGAGACCAAAGGGGUUUUUGAGUUGAAAACUCAAAAACGGGCAGCUCGAAUUUUGAAUAUGGGGCAUGUGGUAGUCUUGUCCUCCCAAAAUUAACAAGAGGGAAGAACAGUACAUCUUGGAGCAUUAACAAAAUACACGGGAUCUUCUGAAUACACAUUUAAGUCGAAAGAGCCUUUAAGAAAUUGGAAUAGUGAAGCUCGUGCUGCGAUAUCUGGGGCACCUAUUUUUCUCAUUUUAUAUUGUACCUAGCAGGUUUGCUAUCCUGUUUAAUUUAUUCACUUUAAGUUUUGCUCAAUGAAAUUCUAUCUUGUCUAUUAUGAUAAUUAUCGAAACCCUUUUUUUUUUGAAAAAUCAGGAUCGACUUUAAAAACGAAAGUUUGGAGUCGCCACCAAUCCUUUUUUGGUUUAGGUGUGAUCGGAUCACCUAAUAAAUCAUUUUACUAAAAUAUGGAUUUUGGCCCAACGAAAAUCAAGAAAUGGGUACCUAACUGAUUAAUUUAUGUCCUAAUGUUGAAAAUUUAAAAAAAAAAUUGAAAUACGAUCCCCUGAAAAAUGUGUGCACAACUCGAACUGGAUUUCAAGAUUCACUCGUUUCAAAGAAAUAAAAUACCACAUCCAGCAUGUUAGGACACGAUAUUUUAAGCCUCCAAAAACUGAGAUCACUUCAUGAUUUCCAAAACGCAACAAGAAGGGUAUUCAAUUAUUUAGACCAACGAAAAAAGCGAAACCCAACACGUUAGGGCACGAUUUCUCGAAUUUCCAAACAUAGAACAUUGCCUUAUUUUAGAAGUUUUUUUUAAAAAAUUGAUAGUUGCAACAACGAAUUAAAAAUACUUGUUUGCUUGAGGAUAAAAACAAUCGAUAUUGAGUAAACACGAGAAUUGAAAAUAUAAUGCAAUUACAAGGGAAAAAAAUAGUUAUAUGUAUGAACAAUAAUAUGUCAAAACGAUAAGAAAGCCAAUGACGACACAUGAUAUGUAAGACAACACAAGAACUAGGAGUCAAUGAUAUUUAAAGAUUAUUAAAUAUAUGCAAAGAAAUAAUACAAGAAAAAAUUCAAAAUAACUUAUAUGCAUAUGAAAACUGACAAUAUAUAAAUAAUUAUUAAAAUAUAUAUAUGUUACGUAAGAAGAAAUUCAAAAUAAAUAAUACAAAACAUAGACAAGUUAAUCUAACUAAUGAUGUAAAUAUGAAAAUGGAAAAAAAAAGUGUAAAUGAUAUAUACCAAGAUACUAAAAUAAAUAAAAUAUACAAUAAUCCUUUAAAGAGAACCAAAUUAUACAUAAAUAAAUUUAAAUAUAUAUAUAUAAAUUUAAGAAAAUACUUACAUAAAAUAAUACGAGAACAAUAAUGUACAUGGAAUAAAGAUAAUUUUAUCAUAAAUUAUAUAUAUGUAUAAUAAUAAUAUAUAAAGGUAUUUUAACUAAAUAUUAUACAAGAAUUUUAAAACAACACUACAUAAUAUAGAAUUUUAUAAUAAUAUUUUUAUAAAUUAAGCAAAUAAAAAUAGAGUAGAAAAUUAUUUAGGUAACCUAAAAAGUAUAUUAAAAUAAAUUUUUAAAAGUUGAGUACCAAAUAAAUUUAAGAAAUAAUGAAUUAUACAUGUAAAAAAAACUCAAUUGAAAUAAACCAAACUUAAAGAGAUAAUUAAUAAAUAAAUAGAACGUAAAAUUAAAACUAGGGACCACAAUUCAAUGCGCACAAAUCUCAAGGACCAAAAACGAAAAUGACCCAAAUCUCCAAAACUCAGCACCUGGGUGCGGGCCAAGUUAAAACAGUAUGCAAACUUCAGGGAAGAUUUUAAAAGACAAUAAAAUGUGAAUUGGGCCAAUUUAGAAGUGGACUCAAAUGAGGGGGAUUAAAAGUGAAAAUCUCCCAUUUAAAAAGCAAAUGCACGUGGACCAAGUCAUCUACUGACUUUUUCCCUUCCCAAUGCUAUUUUACUUUAUCUCUUUAAAUUAAAACCUGCAAAAAUCAAUUUUUACUUGAAAGAAAGCAUUUUAACAUUGAUUUUUUUUUAAAAAACAAACCCCAAACUCUUUCUUCUUCCCCACUUCCUUUUUUUUCCAGUCGCAAACAAGGCUAACACCAAGCCUUCGAUCGCCUCUGUGACUGAUUGCGACGACCGGAGCAAUGCUUCCCCGUGGUGCGAGUGCGAUGUCUGGUGAGUUCCUCUCGGAUCGUCGUUUACACAAAAGAAAAAAGGAAAGAAAAAUAGUAAAAUCGUAGAAGGAAAAAAAAACUUCAAGAAUCACCUUUAACAAGUGUUGUAAUUAUCGAUCUCUGCUUGCUUUUGAUUUUGUAUCUAUAUUCUCUCUAACCAAAAGUAAAACAAAAACCCCUCGUACAAACAAAAAAUCAAAGCUUUUAUAGCCAAAUACAAACGGUUUUCUGGCGAUUUUCUUGCUUCCAAAUCGCAGGUUGUGGAGUUGUGGAGGAGUGCAUGAUCGUGGGGCAUGGACGCACGAGCCAAGGGGUCGUGCUCGGUGUGCCGACGCACGUGGUGGAGGGGAGCAGCAGCUCUUUCCUUUUUUGUUGAAAAGUUAGUCUAGUAUUGGGCUGUUUGGGCUCUAGGGUUAGAUUUAUUUUGGGCUUAUAAUUGGGUUUGUUGUUAUUGUAAUUUUUGGACUUUUUUGGAUUUUUAUAUGGGUUUUAUUUAUUUUAGAUUUAUUAUUUAUUGUAAUUAGGCUGGCUAUUAUUUUUAUAUGGGUUUUAUUUAUUUUAGAUUUAUUAUUUAUUGUAAUUAGGCUGGCUAUUAUUUGUAAAUGGACUUAUUUAAUAUCUUGUUUUAUUUUUUGGUUUUUUUGUAUGUGUAUGGGCCCGGGCCAAAAAUUGGGUCUACAGCUGCCCCUCUUUGCACGUUCUUGUGUAACAAGAACGGAGCAAAGACCUCAAAAGAAUCAAUUUUGCUCGGUCUUGUUGAUUUUUUGACUUCUUUGGUGCUCCUCUACUUCAAGUAGUCUUACAGCAACUUCAAGAAGAUAAUACCUGCAUAUUGAGCCUGCUCCACUGCAACUUCAGAGGAGUAAGGCUGGUGGCUAAAAUCUGCUCCAUAGCUGAUACAUGGAGAUAAGACUCACCAUCUUCGAUCUGCUCUAUAGCCAAUACAUAGAGAUAAGAUCUGUAAUCUUCGGUUUGCUUCUUACAACUCUAGGAAGACAAGAUUUGUAUCUUCAACCUGCUCUCUGCAACUUCAGAUAGAUAAGGCUGGUGGCUAAAAUCUGCUCCAUAGCCGAUACAUAGAGAUAAGACUCGUCAUUUUUGAUCUGCUCCAUAGCCGAUACAUGGAGAUAAGAUCUGUAAUUUUUAGUCUGUUUCCUGUAACUUUAGGAAGAUAAGACUUGCAUCUUCAAUCUGCUCUCUGCAACUUCAAAAAGAUAAAGUUGGUGGCUAAAAUCUACUCCAUAGCCGAUACAUGGAGAUAAGACUCGUCAUUUUUUAUUUGCUCGAUAGCCGAUACAUGGAGAUAAGAUCUGUAAUUUUUAGUCUGCUUCCUGCAACUUCAGGAAGAUAAGACUUGUAUCUUCAACCUGCUCUCCGUAAGUUCAGAGAAAUAAGGUUGGUAGCUAAAAUCUACUCCAUAACCGAUACAUGGAGAUAAGACUCACCAUUUUCGAUCUACUCCAUAACCGAUACAUGGAGAUAAGAUCUGUAAUUUUCACCGAUGUCGCUACACUAUCCUCUGGGGAACAUGCUCUGCAGACUCUGUUUUAUGUUUAUGUUUAUGCCAAAUGAUUAGAAUGCUAAGACCGAAAUGAAUUAGAUGCUCUUAACCAAAUGUUUUAUGAAUGAUACGAAUGUAGAAAUGAAAAUGAUUUCUUUUUCCUUUUUUUUUUUAAAAAAAAAACUUUAAGUGUUAUCCCUCACUAUUCAUCAGAGUUUUAUCACCAUCGUAUUAUGCUGCCUUCUUGCUUGACUAGCAUUUCUCAACAAAACCUAAAAAACAACUCAUUUUGCUCAACUGGUUGGCCACAUUGCAACUCUGGGGGCUGUUUCACUUCUAGAACCUAAGGUUUCCCCCCUCUUUAAAACCCCAUCUUCCAUCAAUUCGGUCUAUUACCCCACUCCCUGGGCACCAUAACCAGAUGUGUACGCCCAACAUUACAUUAAUGAGGAAUAUCAUGAUCCUCUCCUAUGCCUUGGUUGACACAACAUCCUGUUUUCGAUCAAUAUCUUUGACUGAAGAGAUAAUCCCAAUUUUAACACAAAUAUUCCACCCUUAAGUUGGGUAAGUUCUAAAUGAUAGUCCUAUUUCAAGUUCCUGCACCAUUUAGAAACUUCCAGAGUAAUAUGCAAAACCUCUUUUGCAAAAGUAUUAUUAGUCUAUUAACCGUUAUUUCAAUAAGCACGUGAACAUAAAGAUAAAGAUGGACAAAACUGAAGUUUAUUAGGAAAAAGAUUCAAGAAAAAUAGAUUAAUCAAGGGAAGCAAAUAUUUCCAGAGUAGAAAAAUAGGUAAAAGGGAACAAAAAUGAACAUCCCAGAUAUCGUAGCCUAAGCUCAUCCGCAUGAACUCCACGAGGACCAUUUUAAGCUUAUCAUGUGCCUAGGAGAUCUAACGUAUUCUGUCGAUGCCACAAGACAUGCGUACUUCCUCUUCAUUAACUCCAGCACAGCAAGACUACCACAUGCCCCAUCCUUGGUCAAAAUUUGAAUUGCCCUUUUCAGGUUUUUAAUUCAAAACCCAUUUGGUCUCAAGGCGCCUUUUGCGGGUUUUCACAUUCGCCUCUCCUUUUCAUUUUUUUUAGGCGCCCUUUGAAGGUUUUCACAUCUUAAGCGAAGUACUUCUUGACUGAAUCUGAAUUUACUGGGUUAGGCAGGCUCCUACCAUCCAUCUCAGUUAAUAUCAGUGCUCCUCCAGAAAAAGCCUUCUUUACCAUGUAAGGUCUUCCCAGUUUGGCAUCCAUUUCCCUCUGAAAUCUUUUUGCAUAGGGAGAAUUUGUUUCAAUACCAAGUCCUCCUCACGGAAUACUCUGGGGCGAACCUUUUUAUUGUAAGCUCGCAUCAUUCACCUCUGGUAUAUUUGACCAUGAUGGAUAGCCUUCAGUCUCUUUUUUUCAAUCAAAUUCAGCUGAUCAUACCGAGACUGAAUCCAUUCUGCUUCGUCUAGCUUCAACUCUGAUAAAAAUCGAAGAGAAGGAAUUUCGACCUCAAUGGGCAAAAUUUCCUCCAUCCCAUAAACCAAUGAGUAAGGUGUUGCCCCGGUAGAAGUUCUGACAGAUAAUCGAUAGGCAUAAAGAGCGAAUGGUAACUUUUCAUGCCAAUUCUUGUAAGUCUCAGUCAUUUUCCCCACGAUCUUUUUGAUAUUCUUAUUGGCUGCCUCAACUACACUAUUCAUUUUUGGGCGAUAAGGUGACGAGUUGUGGUGCUUAAUCUUGAACUGCCUGUAAACCUCCACUAUCACGCUAUUAUUCAAAUUUAACGCGUUGUCAGAUUUGAUCCUUUUUGGUAUGCCAUAUCUACAUAUGAUUUCUUUUUCCAAGAACUUGCUAACUGUUGACCUUGUGACGUUGGCAUAUGAAGCAGCCUCCAACCACUUGGUAAAGUAAUCGAUGACCACAAAGAUGAAUCGAUGUCCAUUAAAAGCCUUCGGUGUAAUCGGCCCUAUAACGUCCAUGCCCCACAUUGAAAAAGGCCAUGGAGAAAUCAUGACAUGAAGGGGUGAAUGAGGCACAUGAAUCUUGUCACCAUAAAUUUGGCACUUAUGGCAUUUCUUGGCAUAGCUGAUGCAAUCUCAUUCCAUUGUGGAUCAGUAGUACCCGAAUCUCAUAAUCUGCCUGGCUAUUGUGAACCCAUUGGCAUGCGUCCCGCAGACACCCUCAUGGACCUCUUCCAGGAUUUUCUUAGCUUCAACAGCAUCAACACAUCUUAACAGUACCUGAUCUUUCCUCCUUUUAUACAGGAUUUCUCCAUCCAAGACAUAGUCACUGGCUAGCCUUCUCAACGUUCUUUUAUCAUUUUCCAUUGCCUGGGUAGGGUAUUCACGAUUCUUCACAUAUCAUAAAAUAUCCAAGGAUAAUCAUCUCUUUCCUCUUCGUCAUCUAUAUUGUAUCAAUAAGCUGGAGCCUCAUAAAUACUCAUCUGGAUCGGCUUCAUAUUCUAUCAUCCAUUUACUCUGAUCAUGGAAGCUAACGUAGCUAAGGCAUCUGCCAUCUGAUUUUCGUCUCGCGAGAGAUAAAAGAAAGUGAUAUCAUCAAACACCUUAAUUAGAUCCCGAACUAGCUCUCGAUAGUUGAUCAACUUUGGGUCUCUUGUCUCCCACUCACCUUUUAGCUGAUAUAUCACCAGUGCAGAAUCCCCAUACACCUUUAACACCCUAAUUUUACGUUCGAUGGCUACACGGAUUGCCAUGAUACAUGCUUCAUACUGUGCCAUAUUAUUUGUGCAAUCAAAAUCCAAUUUGCAAGUGAAUGGAUAAUGAUCUCCAGCUGGGGAUAUUAAGACUGCCCCAAUUCCAUUACCAACGGCAUUUGAUGCUCCAUCAAAAUUUAGUUUUUACGGAUGAUCUUCUGAGGUGUCCUCUUCGAUAAUUGCCACAUACAUUAGAUCUUCAUUUGGGAAAUCAAAGUUUAAAGGCUCAUAAUCUUCCAAAGCUCUGCUGGCUAGAAAAUCUGCUAUUUCACUCCCUUUCACAGCCUUUUGACUCACAUAAACUAUGUCGAAUUCGAAAAGCAGAAUUUGCCAUCGGGCCAUCCUUCCACUCAAAGCAGCUGUUUCCAUCAUGUACUCUAAAGGGUUUAAUUUUGAAAUUAACCAAGUCGUAUGGUACAACAGGUACUGCCUCAAUCUCUGAGUAGUCCAAACCAAAGUACAACAUAGUUUUUCAAUUGGUGAGUAUCUCAUUUCACACUCAGUGACUUUCUUACAGAGGUAAUAUAUUGCCUUUUCCUUCUUUCCCGUCUCAUCAUGUUGACCGAGCACACAUCCCAUUGAAUUGUUAAAUACUGUCAAAUACAAUAUCAAUGGCCUACCAAGGCUAAGUCGCAUUAGCACCGGGGGAUUGGACAAAUACUGUUUAACUUUAUCAAAGGUUUUCUGGCACUCAUCAUCCCACUCGCCUGGGUUGUGUUUCUUGAGAAGGCGAAAUAUAGGGUCACAUUUCUCAGUCAGCUGUGAAAUGAAUUGGGCGAUAUAAUUUAGUCUUCUGAGAAAACCUCAAACAUCCUUCUGAGUGCGCGGUAGAGGUAAUUUUUGUAUAGCCUUGACUUUGUCGGGGUCGACCUCGAUUCCCUUUUCGCUGACUAUGAAACCAAGUAGCUUUUCUGACCUAGCUCCAAAAGUACAUUUUGUUGGAUUGAGCUUUAGCUGAAACAUCCUCAAUCUCAGGAACAAUUUUCUUAAAACCUGUAUGUGCUCCUUUUCUGUUCGAAAUUUUGCGAUCAUGUCAUCGACGUAAACCUCAAUUUCCUUAUGCAUCAUGUCGUGAAAUAAGGUUACCAUGGCUCUUUGAUAUGUUGCUCCCGCAUUCUUCAAUCCGAAUGGUAUCACCCUAUAGCAAAAAGUCCCCCAUAAGGUUAUGAAUGUGGUCUUUUCCAUGUCUUCAGGAUGCAUCUUUAUCUGAUUGUACCCAGAGAAACCAUCCAUGAAGGAGAACAGUGAGUAACCUACCGUGUUGUCCACCAGAGUGUCGACGUAAGGCAAGGGGAAGUUGUCUUUUGGGCUAGGCUUGUUUAAGUCCUUGUAAUCUACACACAUCCUCAUUCUUCCACCUUUCUUAGGGACAGGGACGACAUUAGCUACCCAUUCUGAAUAAUUAACAACUUGUAAGAACCUGACAUCAAAUUGCUUUCUGACCUCUUCUCUUAUUUUUACUGCAACAUCGAGUCUCAUCCUUCGAAGCUUCUGUUGAACAGGCUUGCACUCUUCUUUUAUGGGGAUGCGAUGCACCGCAAUAUCAGCGCUUAGCCCAGGCAUGUCUUGAUAUGACCACGCGAAGAUAUCCUUGAACUCUUGCAGUAAAUCAAUGAGGUCAUGUCUUGUUUCCUCAGUUAUGCAAGUUCCAAUGUUCACAUCUUUCCCUCUUCCAAGGUCACACCCUCGAUUGUCUCUUUAAAAGGUAGAAUAUGUUUCUCUUCCUACUCUACCAUCCUUAACAAAUUUGAAGGUAAGCUACAGUCUUCAUCAUCUUCAAAACCUGAGAUCCCUUCAGACACACGUCUCGCUCAAAAAGGAACUCUGGGUUUGUAACAGCGUCACUCAUACCAUUGGUAUCUAGAGACCUAUUGUAAGCACGAAAGAAUAUCCAACAAACAAAUGAACCUAAGUAUAGCUUUAUUUGUAUGGUAUGAUUAUAAACGAAAUGCAAGAAAAGAAAAUUUACUCAAGAUAAAAGAAUAUUUGCUCAGAAUAAGACAUGAAAGUGCAUUUAUAUUGAAAUAAACGUUUUGAACAUGAACCUAUUUCACAAAAGAUUCUUAUUUCUUCUAGGCUUUUAAAACAACAAGUGUGUUUUGAACAUUACUCUAUAUUAGCACUAAAAACAACAGGAAUUUCCUUCGCAAUCCAAUUGUUCAAAACACUUCCAGGCUCAUAACGGCGAAUGCUUGCCAACUCAUGUUUCAACACUUUCUCUUCAGAUAUGACAUUGAUAUUCAAAUUUUCCAUUGCAUCUUCAAUUGUUCCCUCUCUUGUCAUCUUCAAUUUAGGAUAAAUAAUUCCACCCGACAUAAAUGUAUAAGAUAUAUGGGGAAAAGUCAUUGAUUCCUACUCGACUUCUACCCCAUUCAGUCGUGCUCUUCGUCUCUUCUGCCUCCUUUUCAUCUCCUUUCUUUUCUGCUUUGUAUCUAGCCUAUACCCUAAGCCAAAGCGAUCUUGUUUGUCAGCCAAAACUGGCACCUCAACUCGUCCAUGAAGAUACUUUCUAAGUCCUCUUCCGGGCAAUGCUCCUUUUCCCACUAUCAAUUGCAAGCUCAUCCUCGUAGCCUCAGAUAUUCUUGGCAUUGGGACCUUGCCCCAUUCAAUGAUGAAAGUUGCAUUUACAAAGUCCAAUAACUGAAAGGAACACUCAAUUGCUUCAUCAUCAUUUUCUAUAUACGGUGCACUACUAGUAACAGAUGCAAUAAUAUCCUCCUCAACAUUUAUCGUUAUCAAGCAGCCCUCCAUCACCAGCUUUAACUUUUGGUGCAACGAUGACGGUACUGCCCCUGCCGAGUGAAUCCAAGGCCUCCCCAACAAGUAAUUAUAAGAAGGCGCAAUAUCCAUCACAAGAAAAUCUACCUCAUAUGUGUUUGGUCCGAUCUGUAGAGGUACCUCAAUUCUUCCCAUCACUUUUCUCUUAGUGUCAUCAAAUGCCCUUACUAUGUUCUGGCAUGUCUUCAUAUGAGAGCUAUCAAUUGGUAACCUAUUUAAUGUGGAAAAGGGCAAAACAUUCAGUGCUGACCCAUUAUCAAUUAAUACCCCCGACAGUGUAUACCCUUUGCAACGAGUGGUGAUGUGCAAAGCCUUGGUGGAUCCCAUGCCCCCUAGUGGUAUUUCAUCGUCACUGAAGGAGAUGAAAUUGUCGGGGUUUAUAUUACUAAUAAGGCGGUCUAGCUUGUUCACUAAAAUAUCUUCAGCGACAUAAGUCUCGUUCAAAACCUUCAUCAACGCAUUUCGGUGAACCUCCGAGUUUUGAAGUAGAACUAAUACCGAUGUGCAUGCCGACUGCUUGUGUAACUGUUCCACAACACUAUACUCACUGUGUUUUAGGAACUUUAAAAAUUCUUUAGCUUCAUCUUCAGUUACUAGUUCAUUAACCAGUGGUUUUGUCCUCUCUUUCCCUUGUUCAAUCAUUACAGACUUCCCUUUUCUAGGCUCGACCUUUGUACUUAGCGUGCUGACCAGACUCUCCUCCCCUGGAUAUGUCACAUUACAGUUGUAAUUUCAAGACACCCUUUUGUUAUCCUUAUACGGAAAAGCCGCGGGUCUCUGGAUUAUAACUCUCGAUGUAAUUUUUGCUCCAACUUCAUUAAUUUUUGGUCUCGAAAUGAUCACCACUGGGUGAUUGACCUCAGUAACCUUCUCUAUCAACCCUCCUCCAAGGAGUAUACAUCUUCUUUCUCAGUAAACUCAAAGAACUCCAGUUCUUUGUUGUCUAUUAGAGCCUAUACCAAGGCCCUAAAUUCAUUACAUUUUUUAAUCUCAUAGUCCUCCUCUCCAUGGAACUCACAAUAGUUCCCUGCUUCUUGGGAUUUGCUCCCAAAGUCUUGCAUGACUAGCCUUUCUCCACUAUCCUCUUCAAAACCUCCCUCAUCGAAGUUCUCACUUCUGCCACAUCCAACUUAAUUCUCCUCCCCAUAUUUUUGACUAUUGCGUUUACCCCUUUAUCAGUAUGACUGGGUAACGGAUUUCCUACACUAGGUGCAUCAUCGAAUUUCACAAUACCCAUGUUGAUGAGCCUUUCGACUACCCUUUUAAAAGAGGUACAGUUCUCUAUUGAGUGUCCCGCGAUUCUAGCAUGAUAUUCAUAUUAAGCACUUGCAUCAUACCAUUUGGGGUAUAGAGGUUGCAGUGGUUUUAAAUAAAAAGGAGAUACGACGUGUGCCUCAAACAAACUUUUGUACAACUCCUGAUACGUUACUGGAAUGGGAGUAAACUGGGGCUUCUCCGUGUUCUGUUUUGUAUUGGGCUCCUGCCUUGGCGAAGCUUGUUGGCCCGUGGCUAUCACUUUCGGUUGAUUUACCAUGAUUGGUUUCGCAUAACCCAUAUUCACAUUGCUGACUUCAUUUUUUUCUUUUUCGGGGCUGACCUCCUGGUGUUUUCCCCUACCUCUAUCUUUUCGCACCUUAUUGCAUUCUCAAUCAUUUCACUAGACAUAACUAUAUCCGUAAAACUCUUAGUUGCGCUUCCCAACAUGUGAUUAAUAAAAGGUGCCUUCAAGGUAUUAAUGAAAAGCAUGGUUGUUUCUUUCUCCAACAAUGGCGGUUGGACUUGUGUAGCAACUUCUCUCCAUCUCUGAGCAUAUUGCCUGAAACUUUCAUUUGACUUCUUCUCCAUGUUCUGUAAUGUGAUCCUAUCAGGUGCUAUGUCGGUCACAAAGCCAUAUUGUUUCAUAAAGGCCUGUGCUAAAUCUUUCCACGAUUUAACUUGGCUUCGGUUCAACUGAUUAUACCAUUUGGCUGUAACCCCGGUCAAACUGUCCUGGAAACAGUGUAUUAAUAACUGAUCAUUAUUGACAUGACCAGUCAUUCUCUGACAAAAUAUCGUGAUAUGAGCCUCAGGGAAACUGGUUCCGUUAUAUUUUUUAAAUUCUGGCAUUUAAACUUCGGAGGGAGUACCAAAUCUAGGACUAGGCUUAACUCCUUGGCAUCCAUUCCGCAAUGAUAAUCAGCACUUUCCAACACCCUAAAUUUUUCCUCCAACCACUUGUAUCGGUCUUCUAGUCGCUUUUGAAAUUCUGCUUCUUCCUUUCCUACUUCCAUGACCUCAUCAAAAUCAGGGACUGUAGGAUUUGCAUGAUUGUCCUCGAGGUUAGAACACGAACCCGUUGAGAAAUACCGGUACUGAAGUACCAGUCUGAUAUUGGGGUUUGAUAUUGACAGACACCUUUUGCGGAGGCACUGGGUAUUUGUUGGGGUGAAACCCGGAGGGUAAGUAAGAAUCCUGCUAUCAUCCUCAGCAUUGACCAUGGGACUCUUCCCCUUUUCCGGCUUUUCAACUAGUAGCUGAGUCAGUUCUCUCAUCAUAUUCUUCUGAGAUUCCAGCAUUUGAUUUUUCAUAUCUUGCUGGAUCUUAGCUAAUUGCUCUUGCAUUUGCACUUGCAUCUGUUCCUGCAUUUCUUUCUACAUUUGCUCCAAUUUUUCCAACCUUUGAUCCAUAGCUUUUGUCUUUUUUCGUGUGUAAUAUUGAUGUUCCAAGGUAACUAUAAUAUAAUUUUUAAUCAAGAUUCUUUUGUAAAAUUUAAUGUACAUGAUGCGAUGAGAUGCAAAUGCAUGAAAUGAAUGCAAAACUAAAGAGAUGUCGAUUCAGAUUCAAUUCCAUUUAAAAAAUUUUAUUAAAAAGCAAAAUCCUUUACAUAAAAUAGAUCACAUAUACAGAUUAGCCCUAAUGCUCAAAGUUUUAACUUUCUUAAGAAGGCAAGCUAGCUCACGACCCCGGUCUGACUCUAACUCAUACUUCACACUUAGGACAUCAGCCUGAACCUCUAAGGUCUGUAAAUAAUCAGUCACUUCUCGAAUCUGAGCCACAACUUCACCCAUGAUGUGAUCUCUAUCUCUGACCUGGUCUUGCGAUUGACGGAGCUGUUCCUUCCACUGCUCAUUGUUUGACUCAAGUAAUUCAAUUCGAAACUCACAGGUUUGUAGUACAGUAUCGAGCUCUUCUACCUUCCCUUUUAAAUCUUCAAUCCUACUCAGGCUGGCUCUUAAUUCAAUAUUAGAGUUACGACCAGGGUGCUGAUACAAGGCCUUUUCUAGCUUCGCUACCCGAGCUACCAACAUCUCUUUCUCACAUUGGCCUUCAACCAAGCUCUUCUCCAAGGCACUUUCACGUGCUCGAGCAUCAUGAAACCUCUUCUUCUACUAAUCAACUUUAGCCUUUUCUGCUUGAAUUUCCUGUCGCCACUGCUCUGACAACUUCCCCAACCUGGCAGUUCUCAUUGACAUACGUAGCUUCUUGUAAUCAGUUUUCAAACUGUCCAGGUCUUCAUCAACCUUCCUUUUCCCUUUUCUCAACUUCUCGGCCUCGAGUUUCUGAACGUCGGCAUCCAAUCUCAAAUGCAUCUUUUCCUCCUCUAAUUGUUCUAUCUUUUUCCCUAACUCUGCAUUUCUCUCUUCGAAGUCCAGUUUUACGAUCUCAAGCUCGGAGGGAAUUACUUGUAAAUAUUCUUCCAUCAUACGAAUAUCCUCCAAACUCGGCUCGGGGAUAUUAUCAUUAACUCUUUUACUCAACCACCCAUUGUAUUCAGGAGUCGUUAUUGAUCCAACAGUCAAUCCGGCGCGUCUGUUUCCAAGCAUCAGAAAUCUCUUGAACCGUCGUCUUAUAAUUCUUCUCCCUAUACGCGAACUCACUCUAGGCUAAUCCAUGUGUCAUCGGUAUAAACUGCCUUGACCUGUAUUGUCUUAAAAUGAGCAAAGGGGCAUAUCCAGCAGCUCCCCAAAUUUCAAGUAGGGUUACCCAAUCAAAACUCCCACACCGAUAGAUGAUCUCAUCAGGAACAAACCAAGGAACUCUCCACUCAACAUUAUCUUCCUGAAGAUUUCGAAGGAGCACGAUCCAAUUUUCUUUUGAUAUGUCAUCUCUCUUAGACAUGGCUGCUAUCUUCUUUAACGGGGAGUAACUCUUGGAAAAAACCCGAUAGGAAACCUUAUCCACCUUCUAGAAAUGGCUGUGGAACCAAGCCAACAAUAACUGUGCACACCCUAUAAAUCUACCUUCACUUGUCCUCCGACAUGCACUCAAGGAUCUGAAUGUCUCAGCAAGAAUUGCUGGCACCGGUGUGACCCCUUUGUCAAGUCGAUCAAAGAAAUCGGCAACUGCUUUAUCUAUAUACCUUAAAGCCUUGGGGAAAAUCACCAAACCAUAGAUACUCAAGGCGAAGACAUCAACUUUCCUCAUUGUAUCUGGAUGUGCUACGAUCAGGUCCCUCAAACUUACCCAAGGAAUACACCUACCAUCACCCUUUUACUGAAUUCGAGCUGUAACCCAUUGUUUACUCAUCCCAGUGAUACUCAUUAACUUCUUUACAAAAACUGGGGCACUAGCAGCCUUGGAAUAAACUUUGUCGACUUGAACCUUUGGACAACGGAGUAAGGCUAUAUACUCCUUCACAGUAGGCACCAAGUCUACCUUCCAGAAGGUGAAGGAACUAUACGCCGGGUUCCAAAACUGAGCCAUAGCCCGAAACAAGUACUUAUCCACCUUGAUAUCGAGCAGGUAGGGCAAGUCACCAUAACUUUGAUAGAAUAGCUGCUUGGUCUUAUCAUCCCAACGAGCCCAUAUAUCCAUCAAUUCUUGGAGUUCAAUUUGGGUCACAUUGAUGCGAGUGAAGCCCGACAACCCCGAUGUAUACCCCUCAGCUAGGCUAUCCCCUUUCUCAAGUUGCGUCUUCUUUGACCACAUACGGACAGCUGCAUUAUCCUUUACUUUAUCAAGGAAUUUGCUCUCCAUAACAAGCUUUCUAAUUUAGCAACCGAACAUAAAUUGACACCUCUUUAAUGUGAAAUGACAUGCAAAACAUAAUCACAACAAAACACAACAAGUUAGUAUCAAAAAAUAAAAUUUAAGAGAAAUAGAAAAUAGUUAAACACCUAACUGGGUAAUCACUAGAGUUCAACAUAGCUCUACCUAGUGCGGGCUUCUAGAGUUCACUAUAUGCGGCUUGGUUCUAUGAAAAUGGUACCUGAACUAGCAGAUUCCUCAACCCUCAUCUAUUAUAGGCUCAUGCAGAUUGAGUUCAGUUCAGGGGAAUACAUUUCCCUAUGGCCAUGCGGAGGUGAAAUCCUCACGAAGACAUAGGUACAGAUGUAUCCCGGAAGCAGUUCACUAGCCCAUGUGGAGGUGGAAACCUCACGAAGGCGUAGUUUCUCACUUCUACUUAAAAAUGUGCGACCACAAUGGUCAUGCAAGAUGAUGCGAAGGGAUAUAAAAAACUCAAAAUGUAAAACACGAAUAAAAUGACCAAAAACCAUAAAACCCAUGAAAUGCAAUAAAAGGAUCGUAUGUUAAAAUCUAAAUUUUAACUUUUCAACAAACAGACAGAAAAUAAUCAAUUUUACGGCAUGACUCUCUUAUUAGUCCCCAGUGGAGUCGCCAAGCUGUCGAAACUCUUUUUAUUUUGAAAAAUCAGGAUCGACUUUAAAAACGAAAGUUUGGAGUCGCCACCAAUCCUUUUUUGGUUUAGGUGUGAUCGGAUCACCUAAUAAAUCAUUUUAUUAAAAUAUGGAUUUUGGCCCAACGAAAAUCAAGAAAUAGGUUCGGGAGUCGGUUACGUACGAGGAACGAUUAGCACCCUCGUAACGCCCAAAAUUGGUACCUAACUGAUUAAUUUAUGUCCUAAUGUUGAAAAUUAAAAAAAAUUGAAAUACGAUCCCUAAAAAGUGUGUGCACAACUCGAAUUGGAUUUCAAGAUUCACUCGUUUCAAAGAAAUAAAAUACCACAUCCAGCACGUUAGGACACGAUAUUUUAAGCCUCCAAAAACUGAGAUCACUUCAUGAUUUCCAAAACGCAACAAGAAAGGUAUUCAAUUAUUUGGACCAACGAAAAAAGCGAAACCCUACACGUUAGGGCACGAUUUCUCGAAUUUCCAAACAUAGAACAUUGUCUUAUUUUAGAAGUUUUUUUUUUAAAUUGAUAGUUGCAACAACGAAUUAAAAAUACUUGUUUGCUUGAGGAUAAAAACAAUCGAUAUUGAGUAAACACGAGAAUUGAAAACAUAAUGCAAUUACAAGGGAAAAAAAUAGUUAUAUGUAUGAACAAUAACAUGUAAAAACGAUAUGAAAGCUAAUGACGAGACAUGAUAUGCAAGACAACACAAGAACUAGGAGUCAAUGAUAUUUAAAGAUUAUUAAAUAUAUGCAAAGCAAUAAUACAAGCAAAAAUUCAAAAUAACUUAUAUGCAUAUAAAAACUGACAAUAUAUGAAUAAUUAUUAAAAUAUAUAUAUGUUACGUAAGAAGAAAUUCAAAAUAAAUAAUACAAAACAUAGACAAGUUAAUCUAACUAAUGAUGUAAAUAUGAAAAUGGAAAAAAAAAGUGUAAAUGAUAUAUACCAAGAUACUAAAAUAAAUAAAAUAUACAAUAAUCCUUUAAAAAGAACCAAAUUAUACAUAAAUAAAUUUAAAUAUAUAUAUAUAAAAAUUUAAGAAAAUACUUACAUAAAAUAAUACGAGAACAAUAAUGUACAUGGAAUAAAGAUAAUUUUAUCAUAAAUUAUAUAUAUGUAUAAUAAUAUAUAAAGGUAUUUUAACUAAAUAUUAUACAAGAAUUUUAAAACAACACUACAUAAUAUAGAAUUUUAUAAUAAUAUUUUUAUAAUUUAAACAAAUAAGAAUAGAGUAGAAAAUUAUUUAGGUAACCUAAAAAGAGAUAAUUAAUGAAUAAAUAGAACGUCAAAUUAAAACUAGGAACCACAAUUCAAUGCGCACAAAUCUCAAGGACCAAAAAAGAAAAUGACCCAAAUCUCUAAAACUCAGCACCUGGGCGCGGGCCAAAUUAAAAAGUAUGCAAACUUCAGGGAAGAUUUUAAAAGACAAUAAAAUAUGGAUUGGGCCAAUUUAGAAGUGGACUCGAAUGAGGGGGAUUAAAAGUGAAAAUCCCCCAUUUAAAAAGCAAAUGCACGUGAACCAAGUCAUCUACUGACUUUUUCCCUUCCCAAUGCUAUUUUACUUUAUUUCUUUAAAUUAAAACCUGCAAAAAUCAAUUUUUACUUGAAAGAAAGCAUUUUAACUUUGAUUUCUUUUUUUAAAACAAACCCCAAAACUCUUUCUGCUUCCCCACUUCCUCUUUUUUCCAGUCGCAAACAAGGCUAACACCAAGCCUUCAAUCGCCUCCAUGACUGAUUGCGACGACCGAAGCAAGGCUUCCCCGUGGUGCGAGUGCGACGUCUGGUGAGUUCCUCCCGGAUCGUCUUUUACACAUAAAAGAAAAAAGGAAAGAAAAAUAGUAAAAUCGUAAAAGGAAAAAAAACUUCAAGAAUCACCUUUAACAAGUGUUGUUAUUAUCGAUCCCUGCUUGCUUUUGAUUUUGUAUCUAUAUUCUCUCUAACCAAAAGUAAAACAAAAACCCCUCGUACAAACAAAAAAUCAAAGCUUUUAUAGCCAAAUACAAACGGUUUUCUGGCCAUUUUCUUGCUUCAAAAUCGCAGGUUG
rnacentral:lncRNA from 1 species